CUCCAUCUUUGUAACUAAUCCGUAACCUACUUGACUUUAACUCGAGCAGCAGCUCACCACUACAAACUCCGCUCUGCUCUGUCAACAUGCCAGACUCUAUUGAAGCUGUGCCAGCUGCAUGCCUUGUCAUCAAGGAGGACGUCGACAAGUGUGUCAGAGGAAAAGGUGCAGAGAGCUGUAAAGAUCUGAUAGAUGCCUUCCAAGCUUGUAUAAAAACCCUGUCAGAGGGGUCAUAACACACAAGAAAUACAUGCUAAUCGUUGCUGUAUCAAAGACCUCCUCUUCCCAGCAUUCCCUUCCUCUUUUGUGCUGGACUGAACCAUCUGACAGACUGAAGAGGGGGGGUGAUGACACUAAGAUUCUGAUACUGUGCUCUUCUGUAUAUGAGACUAUUUUUUAUGCCACUAUACAAACAUUGAUUAUUAAUACACUGUAAAUCUUUAAUGCAGAAAAAUAAAUUAAAUAAAUAGCUUGUGUUUUUUAUUACACAGAUCAUACUGUUUUCUUUUCUGGUCACAUGUGUUACAAUGUUAGCAUAGUUACAUUCUAAUAAUAUCACAUGUAGGCUACUAGCUGUUGGAAACGCUACACUGACCAUUCAAAUCUUCUACA